rnacentral:rRNA from 1 species
AUGGGCCUCAAGGAUGAUUUGGAUGUGCAGACGAGACUCUGGUCUUUUAGGCUAACUCCACCGCACGAUCCAAAUCGACCCCAAAUCGUCCGUUUGUGUCCGUUUGGGGUAAAACGAAUAAACCGAAUGACCCAACGCAUGAGAGCAUACGGAUGUUUUGUCCUGUCUGUGUCCGCUUUUGCCCUAUUUCCAGACCAAAGUUGCUCCCGGUUUGGGGCCAAAGCGGACGUCUUCGCGUCCUCGUCGUCCGUUUGUGUCCGCCCUCGACCCCACCUGUCACUCUCUCUUUUGCUGCUGUUGCGACUGCUCGCCGUCUUGCUUGCCUGCGGCGCCAAUGCCGGCUCACUGGAGGGCGACAUCGCCGCGCUUGCGGACUUCCGGCUCGCCGCGGAUCGCUCCGGCGCGCUGGCCACCUGGAACGCGUCCGCCAGCCCGUCCCCUUGCGGCGGCACGACGGCCUGGCCCGACGCGCUCGGCCUGUCCGGCGCCGACGCGCUCCCGGCGCUGGCCCGGCUCGACGGCCUCCGCAUGCUCAGCCUCAAGGGGAACCGGCUCUCCGGCGCCGUCCCGGACCUCUCGCCGCUCCAAGGGCUCAAGCUGCUCUUCCUCUCGCGCAACGCGCUCUCUGGCGCCAUCCCGCCCUCGCUGGGCAAGCUCUACCGGCUGUACCGCCUCCUCUCGUCCAACGACCUGUCCGGCGUCAUGCGGAGAUGCUCGGCAAGGGCGGCUGCGGCACGGCAAGGGAGAGUUCGAGCUGGAGGAGCUGUUGUGCGCGUCCGCGGAGAGGAGCUGCUUCACGGCCACCGCAUUCGAGCUGGAGGAGCUGCUGCGCGCGUCCGCGGAGAGGAGCUGCUUCACGGCCACCGCGUUCGAGCUGGAGGAGCUGCUGCGCGCGUCCGCGGAGAUGCUCGGCAAGGGCGGCUGCGGCACGGCGUACGGCAGCGUCGUGGCCGUGAAGCGCUCAGCGACGCGGCCCCUGUCCGCGGCGGCGUGCAUGAGCACGAGCACGAGCGGCCGCGGCGGCGUCAAGUUCUCUAUGCCUGCUACCUGUUCGAAGAAAUGACGAGGACGGACAGCUGGUGA